rnacentral:ribozyme from 13 species
GAAACAAAACAAAACAAACCAAAAACCCAAAACGAAAAAUCCCUCCUUCUUCAUCACCUCCUUCUCUUUCUCUUUCCCUUUCUCUUUCUCUUUCUUUCUCUUUCUCUCCAAGAAAAAAAAAAACAAAUCAAGGAUAACGAGAAUACAUCCGAUGAG